UGCGAACGGGUGAGUAACGCGUAGGUAACCUGCCUGGUAGCGGGGGAUAACUAUUGGAAACGAUAGCUAAUACCGCAUAACAGUAGAUAUUGCAUGAUAUCUGCUUGAAAGGGGCAAUUGCUCCACUACCAGAUGGACCUGCGUUGUAUUAGCUAGUUGGUGAGGUAACGGCUCACCAAGGCGACGAUACAUAGCCGACCUGAGAGGGUGAUCGGCCACACUGGGACUGAGACACGGCCCAG
rnacentral:rRNA from 1 species